rnacentral:misc_RNA from 1 species
GAAAUGCGAUACGUAGUGUGAAUUGCAGAACUUUGUGAACCAUCGAAUCUUUGAACGCAAAUUGCGCCCUUGUUUAGAGGGCAUGUCUGUUUGAGGGCCACCUUAAUCAAAUAAUGCACGCGCAUGUGGUGCACGUUGAUGGACUUUCCGACGAAUCUACAUCUGUGGACGACGUCGGUGGUUCGUAAUGAAGACGCGACGUGUGGAGGCUUUCGAUCGAGUGUAGUAAACAUGCAAUGAUUUCGACGCUUGAUGGUUGGGAGUCUUCGGUCGCGAUACGGGCGUGGCGACGAACUGCCACUCUUCCCCUCGGGAAGACUACAUUUUUCUCGUGGGCCUCAAAUCAGACAAGAAUACCCGCUGAACUUAA